rnacentral:rRNA from 1 species
ACAUGAAGCUGGAAUCGCUAGUAAUCGCAAAUCAGAAUGUUGCGGUGAAUACGUUCCCGGGUCUUGUACACACCGCCCGUCACACCAUGGGAGUCGGAUAUGCCCGAAGCCAGUGACCUAACCGCAAGGAAGGAGCUGUCGAAGGUGGAGCCGAUAACUGGGGUGAAGUCGUAACAAGGUACC